AUUGAAGCUUGCUUUGAACUGUUUUAGUGGCGGACGGGUGAGUAACGCGUGAGGAACCUGCCUUUCAGAGGGGGAUAACGUCUGGAAACGGACGCUAAUACCGCAUGACAUUUUGUUGCCGCAUGGUGAUAAAAUCAAAGGAGCAAUCCGCUGAGAGAUGGACUCGCGUCCGAUUAGCCGGUUGGCGGGGUAACGGCCCACCAAAGCAACGAUCGGUAGCCGGGCUGAGAGGCUGAACGGCCACAUUGGGACUGAGACACGGCCCAGACUCCUACGGGAGGCAGCAGUGGGGGAUAUUGCACAAUGGAGGAAACUCUGAUGCAGCAACGCCGCGUGAGGGAAGAAGGUUUUCGGAUUGUAAACCUCUGUCCUCAGGGACGAUAAUGACGGUACCUGAGGAGGAAGCUCCGGCUAACUACGUGCCAGCAGCCGCGGUAAUACGUAGGGAGCAAGCGUUGUCCGGAUUUACUGGGUGUAAAGGGUGCGUAGGCGGCACUGCAAGUCAGGUGUGAAAACCAUGGGCUUAACUUAUGGAUUGCACUUGAAACUGUGGUGCUUGAGUGAAGUAGAGGCAGGCGGAAUUCCCGGUGUAGCGGUGAAAUGCGUAGAGAUCGGGAGGAACACCAGUGGCGAAGGCGGCCUGCUGGGCUUUAACUGACGCUGAGGCACGAAAGCAUG
rnacentral:rRNA from 1 species